rnacentral:rRNA from 1 species
GCCUUCAUGAAGCUGGAAUUGCUAGUAAUGGCAGGUCAGCAUACUGCCGUGAAUACGUUCCCGGGCCUUGUACACACCGCCCGUCACACCAUGAGAGUUGGAAAUACCCGAAGCCUGUGAGCUAACAGUAAUGAGGCAGCAGUCGAAGGUAGAGCCAAUGAUUGGGGUGAAGUCGUAACAAGGUAAC